rnacentral:rRNA from 1 species
AACGAACGCUGGCGGCAGGCUUAACACAUGCAAGUCGAACGCAUCCUUCGGGGUGAGUGGCAGACGGGUGAGUAACGCGUGGGAACGUGCCCUUCAGUUCGGGAUAACCCAGGGAAACUUGGGCUAAUACCGGAUACGUGCGAGAGCAGAAAGAUUUAUCGCUGAAGGAUCGGCCCGCGUCUGAUUAGCUAGUUGGUGGGGUAAGGGCCCACCAAGGCGACGAUCAGUAGCUGGUCUGAGAGGAUGAUCAGCCAGAUUGGGACUGAGACACGGCCCAAACUCCUACGGGAGGCAGCAGUGGGGAAUAUUGGACAAUGGGCGCAAGCCUGAUCCAGCCAUGCCGCGUGAGUGAUGAAGGCCUUAGGGUUGUAAAGCUCUUUCGUCCGGGACGAUAAUGACGGUACCGGAAGAAGAAGCCCCGGCUAACUUCGUGCCAGCCGCCGCCGUAG